UACGUAGGUGGCAAGCGUUGUCCGGAAUUAUUGGGCGUAAAGCGCGCGCAGGCGGUCCCUUAAGUCUGAUGUGAAAGCCCACGGCUCAACCGUGGAGGGUCAUUGGAAACUGGGGGACUUGAGUACAGAAGAGAAGAGUGGAAUUCCACGUGUAGCGGUGAAAUGCGUAGAGAUGUGGAGGAACACCAGUGGCGAAGGCGACUCUUUGGUCUGUAACUGACGCUGAGGCGCGAAAGCGUGGGGAGCAAACAGG
rnacentral:rRNA from 1 species